rnacentral:lncRNA from 1 species
CUAAGAAACACUAUAAUGCUUUCUUCCAAUAACAAUACUCCUUCAUCAACUAAUAACAACAGUGUGCAACCUUGCACUCUCAAAAGACCGCUCAAAACACAAUAAUUGCCAUCCAACACUAGGAAUAACAGACUUCACUCCAACAAUCUGAAUUCACAUAAUUUCUAUAAUCAUAGACUUUUUCUAUCAAAAUACACAUAGCUCUCAAUAAACAACAAUCAUAAUCUUUCAAUAACUCCUCAUAUAAUUCAAUCUCUUAGUGCUCCAAUUACAUAAUCAAUAACUCAUAAAUAAAUCUUUGAUUUAUUCCAUAGAUUCACUUCUUAGUAUUCAGAAACCAUCCAUUACUUUUCAACAACAAAGAAACAAAGAAACAAAGAGGUAGUACCAAGCUUACCCCGGCUCAUGACUAUCACAAUCUGGCCCUCCAACAAACUUCUACAACUCUUAUAUAAUUGCUCUUGAUUUCUAGAUUCUAACCGUAAUCCUGUAAUUAACCACUUUUAAUAACUAAAUCAAUCAUCCGUCCUAUUGAAUUGACUAUUCUAUAGACUA